CCAAAGACCAACUGUUCCUGCUAGUUUGAAUCUGGCCACAGGGUCUCUGUUGGUGAGACAGGUGACCAUGAGGCAGACACCCUGAAAUCUAGCACGACAGAGCUCAACGCCCCCAUGAGAGGCACCAUGGCACACAGACUUUGCAGACAUACUAGCGAAGGCCACAGCAGGUCCUGAGUGAGGAACAAGCUGACCAAGAUCCUGGGAUCCUGCCACACAAACUUUAAACCAGGGACUGGACACUGUUUCCCUAAAGAGCCAAGAAUCAGUAUUUUCAGCUUUGUCAACGGAUCUUUGUCUCAAGGACGCAACUCUGCCAUGGCUGCACCACAGCAGCCUUCUGUAGGUGGCCUGUGAAGAGAUGGGCAUGACUGCACCCCCAUCAAUCUUUACUUAUGGACGUGGAAACUUCUCAGCGUCAUGAAGUGUUAGUUUUUUAUUUGUUCACCCAUUUGGAAACAUAAAAUCCAUUCUUGAUUCACGGGCCACAAGAGCAGGCGGGGACAGGCUGCCCCUGGCCGACCUCUGGAAUGAGCUUAGAGAAGGAAAUGACAGGCUGGGCCAGCGCAGCCUCCUCACAGCAGAUUCGCUGCAGGAGGGUCCUUCUUAGCAGCCACUUCUCAUCCUUCAUCUUGGCUUCAGAUGCAGUUCAGGUGGAGAAAGAGAACAGAACUGGCCUCAGCAACAAGGAGGAAGGAGAUGCAGGGUCAAGUAGCCACGUGGAUCCAUCACACUCAACACUCACACCAAGCGGAGCAGAGGCAGGACCAGCCCGGGGGCGCCAAAGUGGAGGCUCUGUGGGGUGGGGGACCUCUGGCUGGGCAAGAUUCUCUACCUAAAACUCAUAUAGAAGAUCUACAUGGCAGUAGUUACAGAAAACACACACUAAGAAAGAGCCCAAGAUAAAAACAGCACAUCAAGCUUUUGGCCAACCGGCUCUCACAAGCCAGUAGGUAAGAAAGCCCAGGAGAGCCCACCAGAGGAGCUGGGGUCGGUUCCUGACUGCAGGGGGCCUGGGACACCCCAUUCCCACAGACGAGGACCUAUGUUUUGGGGAGGAAGCUGUCAGAGUCACCAGUGAGCUGUUCAGGGCUGGAGCCACAGAGCAGGAGGAGGGGGCACGCAGAAGGGGCCCUGAAGUCAAGGGCAUCGUCCAACCUUUCUACCUCCCCAGCUGAAGACAGGCUGGAGGACAAUUCUCCAGAGUUUCAUAACAAAGAAGAGAAAACAGAAAUCAAAAAGACCUGGAGUAUAGGGAGUGUGACCACUGUAUGUCAGCCACUGGGGGACCGGCUUCAGCUUACAACCACCUUCCAAAUUCCACCCUCUCACCUUGGCAGAAGCUGGCCAGGAAUUGGGGCCAAUGGAUGGGUGGGGUCUGCACAGGACACCGUAUUCAGGUCCCCAUGACGGCCUCACACAAAGGUGGUGGCCCUGCAGUUCCAGGUGCCACACACACGCCAGCCCCUGCCUGGGCCCUGAUCUUUGAGGAAGGGGAGCAGCAGAACCCGGGCACUGACCCCACUGUGCCACUCACACCCACAGACGAUUCUCCACAGAGGCAUCAGCUCUCGGUCCUGGCCACCUCCUCCUGCAGGGCCUCAGCUGUUUCCUGGGACUCACGUGGUCCUUCCUCACAUGCAGCUCUGGUAAGAUGCAUUGAUCUGUACCCAGGGGCUGUGAGGUGACAACGGUCACGCUCAUGCAGAGUGCAAGGGCGG